UGGGGAAUUUUGGACAAUGGGGGAAACCCUGAUCCAGCCAUCCCGCGUGUUCGAUGAAGGCCUUCGGGUUGUAAAGCACUUUUGGCAGGAAAGAAACGUCAUGGGUUAAUACCCCGUGAAACUGACGGUACCUGCAGAAUAAGCACCGGCUAACUACGUGCCAGCAGCCGCGGUAAUACGUAGGGUGCAAGCGUUAAUCGGAAUUACUGGGCGUAAAGCGUGCGCAGGCGGUUCGGAAAGAAAGAUGUGAAAUCCCAGAGCUCAACUUUGGAACUGCAUUUUUAACUACCGGGCUAGAGUGUGUCAGAGGGAGGUGGAAUUCCGCGUGUAGCAGUGAAAUGCGUAGAUAUGCGGAGGAACACCGAUGGCGAAGGCAGCCUCCUGGGAUAACACUGACGCUCAUGCACGAAAGCGUGGGGAGCAAACAGG
rnacentral:rRNA from 1 species